rfam:Triticum urartu cultivar G1812 contig1179554, whole genome shotgun sequence.
CCGCGUAAGAUGCAUCCUGCUGUAAAUAUGGACACAUAGUAAUGCUGAUGGAAUUUAGAUGAGCAUCAUGUGAGUUGUAGGUGCUCAUAAAGGACCAUCAUAGAUAC